AUACGUAGGGAGCGAGCGUUGUCCGGAAUUACUGGGUGUAAAGGGAGCGUAGGCGGGACUGCAAGUCAGAUGUGAAAUACCGGGGCUUAACCCCGGAGCUGCAUUUGAAACUGUGGUUCUUGAGUGUAGUAGAGGCAAGCGGAAUUCCUGGUGUAGCGGUGAAAUGCGUAGAUAUCAGGAGGAACACCGGUGGCGAAGGCGGCUUGCUGGGCUUUUACUGACGCUGAGGCUCGAAAGCGUGGGUAGCAAACAGGAUUAGAUACCCUGGUAGUCCACGCUGUAAACGAUGAUUACUAGGUGUGGGGGGACUGACCCCAUCCGUGCCGCAGUUAACACAAUAAGUAAUCUACCUGGGGAGUACGGCCGCAAGGUUGAAACUCAAAUGAAUUGGCGGGG
rnacentral:rRNA from 1 species